CCGAGGCGCGCGUGCGCGCGCCCGCCGUUUACAGCGCCGCCGCGGCUUCGCGCGAGCGGGGUCUUGCGCGGCUGAAGCGGAGGAGGGGAGGCACGCAGACACCAGCCGAGGGGGCAGUGCCGUGUUUUGGCAUCAGCCUCGGCUUGCUUGACGGGUUUGGAUGGGAGCCGUGACGGGAGCAGCAGUACCCGGCAGCCAGAACCAAAAUUAACGUGCUCCAUCCCCUGUAGCUGCAGAGGCAAAGCAGCGCGACGCGGUUGCUUAUUUGGUGCAGCUCUUUCCAUACCACUUCAUUAUUGCUUCCUGCACAAAAAGUCCUUCCAGCACUUGAAUACAAGCAGUGUAAGGUAGCCCUUCUUGUAUCAUGUAACCUGUAGUAGUCUCUAGCAGCUUCUCUUUUAAGGUGAAGUUUUAUUGUAUUAAUCUAAUCUUGAAGUAAGAAAAAUUAUGAUAAUGCCAGCAGCAGCCUCUGUAUAUUACAGUAAAGGGCUGCAAUGAUCAUAAAAAGUAAAUUCAAUUGCUGCUAUAAUGUUCAUAGCUGAUAGCACCUUGGGAAGCAGGAGAGCUGAAGGCUGAUGACUACUGGAAAACAUACUCUUUUAGUUGAAGUGUUGGCUGUUACUUCCAGUGUCUCUGACCAAAUCACAUGCAUACACAGUUGAAUGUCAUCAACCUUCUGCGACACAGUCUAUAACAGGAAGGUACCAAUGUGUUAUACUACUCUUCUUUAGGAAAAGAAGUAAUUCUUCACCUACCCAUUAAAGUCACUCAAGAAAAAAAAUACUGUUUGGGAUUCAAUAUUAAAUCAUUCAUGGUAUACAAAGUUGUAGCUGCUGUAACUAAUGUACCAGUCAGACGUGGUUGCUACCAGAUGGACAUCUGAAAUCCAUUCAUCUCUGCAAGGUGAUGAACGCAUGGACAGAAGAAGGUCUAGAACCAGACUAAAACUUCUCUCAUGAACUGAUUAUAUUGAGAUUGUGUGAUGUGUCUGACAACAAAAACAUAUUUCCUCUCACAUUAAGCCAAACCGACAGGUAACUUUUCAAACGAGCCGUAGUAGUGCAUCACUCAAAGUAAUAAGCAGAUGGCACAGUGUUCAUAGUCUAAAAAGGGACAUUUCUGAGUGCUCUAUCUAAUCUUGGAAGAGAUAAUACCUCAACUCACCCACUACUGAUGUUAAACGAUUGCUGACCAAGUGGAAAAGAGAGGUUUUAAGCAUACCUUAGUCUGAAAGGAUUCAGAUUCAUAUCUUCGACACUUAAGGUACUUUAACCUGUACAAGUGUGAAGAAGGGUGUAGUAACCCACAGCAUCGCUCCUGUUGGAACUGGCCCUUCCUCAGGUUGGCAUAAAGGAGCCAGAAGAAGAAAUACCUUUGUGAUUCAUCCACUUACACAAGAGUAGGAAGAGCUGCAUUCUGACUGUUGCUGUGCUUGAAUGUUAAUUAUGCCAUCAUGAAGUUGGGAGAACAGAAAGUGCGGUAUAAAAAAGUAUUUUCCAUCUUUGACCUAAAUCUUGUACCUGGCAGUUUUCUUGGUAAGGUAUGUAUUCCAUAUACCUUAAGUUACUGUGAUAGGAUACUGUUACAUAAAAAGGAUGGAGGGGCCUAAGUUCUGCUUCAUAAAAUAUUAAGCAUUUUGUUUAACACUCAGUGGUUAGGGAAGGCAUGGGUAUCUCUGUGUUAGGCUUCACCUUAUCUACCAAAUAGUCAUUGUUAUGCAUGGAAAAGAUGUAAAUCAAUAUAUAAUAAAAUGUUUUACAUCAGUGUUCAAGAUUGCAAUAGAUUAAUUGCCUAGUAGACUGUAUUUUUGAGUAGAUGAUUUCAGAGGGUGAGUAAUGUGUGUACGUGCUAUUUCUUUAUGUACUACUAUGUAGACUUUUCUCUAGAAAAGAUGGCAUUCCAGGAACAAGAAAAGGUGUGUCUGUCUAGAGAGGGUGGUAGUUCUGAUAAGCUCCCAAGAAAUCUCUGUGCGUUAAAAACAAAGUUUAGAUUGGUUUAAUUUCACACUCUUCAGCAGGGGAUGAAAAUGAUGUCUCAUGUACGCCAGUUUUAUUACAACAUUGCUGAGAAAGGCAGAAAAUAGUGAGAAGGAGGGAAAGCAAAGCAAUCUGAGAAAGCAUAGAAAAGAAAAAAUUACCAUUAAUUGGAAAACUAAAUCAAGGUAUUACAUUGUAAACAUAAAAUUUACCCACUUUAUCACCUUGUUCAUAACAGCACUUAAAUUUAAAAGCUGGGGGGGGGGGAGAGGAAGAACAUAAUUAUUCACAGAACAUAUUUGAAUCCUGCCUUUUGAAGGUAUGUUUUACCUCUAAGCUCAUAAACUUCCUUACAUUUUGUAAUUUAUAAACACUUGCAUUGGUUUUGUGCGUUUUCAUGUUAGAUCAUGAGUAGUUGAUACUCUCCCUAGCUCACUAAAAGAUACCCGGUGAUCUCCUGAAAUACACUAUGCACGUUUCCAGUAUUUAUAAUCCCAUGCACGGUCCUAUAGCUGCAGUUAGUGUGCUAGAUACUGCACUUUUCAUCUGUACAGUCACAACAUUACUGCCUUAGUUACACAGCUCCAAGCUUACAUACGGGAGAAUUUCAAAUGGCUCCUGGCCUGUCUCUUUUGGAGGACUUGUGCACGGAAGCGCUAUGAGAGCCGGCCUGUGCCACGCAUUGCAGAAGUGAGAGUAGCAGCAAGUGCAUCUUACUGUAAGUGCUGCCUGACUCUGGAGGCACUGAAUUGACCAAAUAUAAGAUCUGUCAUUGGAGUCUAACUAACACACAUUCUAGUUUAAAAGACUACAGUAUUAGGAUAUCUAGAAAUUAAGAUUAAGAGAUCUUCGAUAUUAUUUCAGGCUUACCUGUUUUUUUACCUAUUAUCUGAUUUGCAGUAGAUAUGUAACCUCAGAACUAUCCAGGAUGGCAUUCUGCAUUUUAACUGAUGCAGUCAUCUCUACUAUAGUAGUGCCCUCAGUAGCUUUUUUAUUUGCUACCUGUCACUAAUAGUACUGUGUAAGUUAUGUAAUCAGAAGUAUUUUUACUUUUUACCAUAGUGAAAAGUGUUUUCACCUUCACUAUAGGAUUUCAAAAAAAUUUAAAAAAAAAAAAAAAAAAGACAGUUCAUGUGAGAGACAUCUGCAGAUUCAUUUUGACAACUGCAGUGGCGAAGAGCUUACAGCUAAAGAAACACCUGGUAAGUCCUGUUUCUCAAGUACACUGUCUUUUGGUAAAAGACCAUAGUAUAUUGGUUACUAUUGAAUAUAAAUAAAAUGUUUUCAGCUUUAGCUUUGUAAAUAGAUUUAAAUAAACCAUUCUUUUUAAUUACUACUAAAACCAUGUAGAGCUAAAAAUUUAACUGAUGCAUUAAAUUAACUUUUCCUUUUAACAUAUCUGAAAUAUGAAUGUGUAUGUAUAUUGACUUACACUGAGGGAUUGCUAGUGGUGUGUUACUUAUGUUUAAUGUUCAGUAUUGAAAGAGCAGCAGUUCUUGCACAAGGAGUUUAUAUUUAACUGGACAUAAAACACCUAAACAAAUUAUAGGAGAACUCUGCGUUUUUCAAAACCUUCUGAAGAUGAGCAGGAAACAUCUGUAUUGGCUGGGCCUUCUAAUAAAAUGUGAUAAAUCAGUCUGAGAAAUCCAGAAUCUUAUUUUUUACUAUAAAUCUUUUUUUCCCCACUCAAAAUAUUUGAUAUAGUCCAAGUCUUUUGUAAAUACAAAUCUCUUUUUAUGUAUUUAAUGGUGAAGAGAAGUAUCUGUAGUUACAAAGCUGUGAGAAAAGAAAGGAACCAAGCAAUAUGAAUCUUAAAAGCUUCUGGAGAUGGGAUGGAAUUGCUCAACAGUGUUCAUCCGAAGUAAAGGACAGAGAGCAGUGCUACAGUGGUUGUUGAUUACCCACACAAAGACCAUUGUGCUUCUGUGCUAUAGUAUGCUCAAGCUUGUUCUCUGCUUUAUCUGUUCAUGGGUAUUUGUGCCUUUUCUCUAAAAGGAAGCUGCAGUGUUCAAUCUCUUAAUAUUUUUUUAUGGUCCUUUUUCACUUUAGGAAGCCUAAACUUUGGUUUGUUUGUGGAUGACUUACUGUCUGUCAUUUGCUCCUCCUACCCACAGUCUUUCUGUUGAGUGUGGGAGGUCUAUCCUGGAAUAUAUUAGCCACAUGCACUGUAGUUAGGGUAUGCUCCAGAGCCCAUUUCAGAGUUUUCUACUCUUCAGAAGCUAUGAAACACUUUGUAGUAAAGUACUUCAAGUUGCUUCAAUGAAAGCCAUUAUAAAAGUUCAGAGAAUUAUUGCUUAAGCACUUGGAUGAAUUCAGGAUUUCCUCACAGAAACAGGAAGCAUCCCAAACAUUGUGUCAUCUUUAUUGGCAUUUGUAGGCUGAUUCAUCGUAAGUCUCUAUUCGACUGUCACUUCUGAAAAGGCGAGUCAUAAUAAUCAGCAAAACGUGAUUCUUGGCUCAAAGCCAAAAGGUGAGCAUUUCUGGGUUGUUAGGUAAUAUAGAUCUGACUCAUUUUGAACUACAGUCACUUCAUACAAGAACAUAUGAUCUUAUUUAGCUAAUAUUAUAUCUGAUUAUUAUUUAAAAUCAGUUUGUUGCUUGAUUACAGUAAUUAAUUGCUACAAGUUUAUAAGCACAAUAAACGGUAGGAUUAACUUGCCUUAUGGUAUUCCACUUGAAUCUCCAGAAGGGCACUUUUCUCUCAUACCUCCUCUAUCACAUCCUCCAGCUCUGUAUGUCUUACACCUUUUGAACGUCUGGAGUGGCCACUGUGAAUGGUUGAACAGUCAUCUAAAACUCACUGUAAGCAUGCAGAAACAUUUUUCUAUUAACCACUUUUGCUCUCAGAGUAGUUUGAACAACAGCUUGGGUUCAGGAUUUUGACAAGAACUAAAUUACUCUGCUGUUCAGGACAGUAAUGCAGUCAUUCUCUAGCUUUGGCUUUCAGAAGUGUGUUAGUAUUUUACAUUCGUCAAGUCAUUCUGUUGGAUAGACCACACAGUAGAGGGGCAAGGGAGUAGGCUGAAAAAUUCACUAUGGUGUAGAGGCAAAACAUAUGUAAAAUGGAGUAAUAACCCAGGUUUAGAUACAGUGCUCUCAUUAAAAAAAAAUCACUGCAGCUAAAUUUGAAGUGGCUGGAAAUUACACUUUAUACUGCUAGCCAUCUCAGAUUCUCAUGAAUUUUUAUUAUUAUUCUUAAGUUUGAGAUGUUUUGUGUUUGGUGUCCGAUUUUGACUGAAAUAUGAGGAAGAGAAACAAUGCCUUUCCUAACGAUUCAAAUGAUUUUCAUACAAAUCCAGUUCACAUGAGUCUAGAUAUUCCUGUUCAUUUAGAACAUGAGAAGUUCCCGUGUACAUGUUACAACUUUUCUUAUACCUUGUAGAAGUUUUAAAAGCCACUUUCUCUAAUGGGCAGUUUUAUAUUAUGGAAUUUAUUGUGUUACUAAUAAAUAAAGAUGAUAACUGAAAUGUUAACUCUCUUAUGCUAUUGUAUUUGUUUAAAUAUAUAUAUUUGAAAGUUUCAUGGGCAGUUUUCUUUACCUUUCAUGUAUUUACAUAACUUGUCAAACUAAGAAAGAAAGGUUGUAUUAUGUAUACAAUGAUUAUGGGGGUUUGUUUUUACAAAACAGGUAUGCUAGUUGUCUCUGGUUUCAGCACACAAACCCCCCAAAUCCUGAUAUGACUGAAGAACUGUUACCCUAUCAGGCUAAGGAGCAGAGAAAAGAAAAAAUAAGUUUUCUAGAGAGUAUACCCUGUUAUCCAGUUUGCAUAACAGUACUGUUUCGUUAUGUACUAAUAAAUGAAUAUUUAGCCUGGUCUGACAAUAUGUUAAAAAAAACACAACAGGUUGUGACAGGAACUAUAAAGAAAACACUAUGUGAGGCAAGGCAGGAAAAAAAGUUAUCUUGAAUUUUUGUAAUUCUGUUUUGAUUAAAGAAGGUCAGCAUGAAAACAGGUAUUAAGUAAUCCAAAUUAGGCAGCCUUCCUUCUUCCCACCAUAGAAAGGUCUGGUAAGUCCCUGUUAUUUGGGAAGCUGGCAAACCACUUCUGUGUUAGAGGCAGAAAUGCUUUAAGUCAAGCAGUGCUUCCCCUUCACAUUUCUAGAAUUUUUCUACUUGCUUUAAAAAAAAAGUCAUGACCUAGCCAAUCAGAUGGCCAGAUUUCAUGCCAGAAGACGGUCUUCCCCUUAGCAAGUCAAUUAAAGUAUACAUCACUAUCUUCCUUUUCCUUUCAGGUAGUCUGUUUAUAGCUAUCCAUCUGAUUUUCAUUACUAGAGGCAUAAUUGAUCUUUUGUCCCAUUUUGAAGUUUGCAUGCACCUGUCUUAUAGGUUAGUGGUGAGAUCAAUUAUCCCUCUGGCUACAGAUAUAUCUUGGUACUCUAUUAGAAGUUUAUCAGUGUAGGUGGAGUCCUUUGUGUUAGAUUGACAACAGGUGAUUAGUGGGGGAGUCAUAGCAGCUUGCUUGCUCAGGCUUGUACCCGAUGUUACAUUGAUCACUAUUUUGCUCAAGUAAUAGGGUUUUGGAGAGGUCUGUUAACAAAAAAAAAAAAAAAAAAAAAAACAAAAAAAAAAAAAAAAAACCCAAACAAAACCACCAAUCAAAAAACAACCAAACAGCCCUAAAAUCCCAACUGAAUUCAUUUAAGGAGGAGACUGAAAUAGAGAUUCAUUUGAAAAAAAUGUACUUGGACUUUUCUGUUAUCACUAGUACAAAACAGAAGACUAUCAAUUUAGUAAGAUAAAUGAAUAUUAUAAACACACUGUGACUAAAAUUACCAUUUUCCAUAUAGUAUUGAUGUAAUUCUGUAAUUCAAUUCAUAUAAUUAAUGUGGAGGUACAUUAUUUCAUUCCAACUUUGUCCUCACAACAAACAAAAAGCUGCUCUUUCGCCUGCUUAUGUGUGAAAUCAUUAUUUGGGUCUAGUUACAGACUUUAGUGACCCUUGAGCCCUUUUGGGUGAAAAGGAUCCCUAAGCACAGCAGUCAUAGAUUGCAAGUCACUCUAUGUAGGUAAUGUAAUGUAGUCCUCCAAAAUUAAUUUUGUCUCAGGUAAUUAAAUAAAAAAUAAUUAUUGAAUGUAUUACACCUUCCUUCAUUUUUAAAAAUAAAAAAAAUGUGGAAUUCCAUCUGUGGGAUUGGACUAGAUGAUCUCAAGAGGUCCUUUGCAACCUAACUAAUUCUGUGACUGUUCAAUUAUGAAAAUAUAUUAAAUACCAAACUUGAUUAGUCUAUUUUUAUAACUUUGGACUUUUUGACAGUGUUGUUUGUUAUAAAUAAAUACAUAAAUUGGUCCAAAUUGUAUGGUUUUGUAGCUGUAUAAUAUAAUAUGUUUUAAGCUACAUUGUCGUUUAUGAUAUGAUAAUAUGUUUUAAGCUACAUUGUGAUCUCAUUACCUCUCAUUAAUAGUCAAGUUACCUAAAUUGCUCUUCAUAGAACUUACUUGUCCUUUAAUGUGAAUGUUUUAAGUUUGUAUGUAAGUGUGUGGACCACAAAGGAGUAGAGAAGCGUUCGGAGAAAUUUCUACAUUUUCCAAAACGUGAAGUAUUUUGCUUCUCCUCUCGAAAAAUGACACGGUAGAGCAAAACUCGGAAGAAAGCACGCACAUGGUUUGCAACAUUGUCUUUGCAAAGCUAGCCUGUUGGGUCAUGCGCAGAAAACAGCCAAGCAGCGAGGCUGAGAUUGUAUUGACAAGAACAAGAUGAAUGGCCCCCUGGAGACUAUGGGAAUGGGUCAUUCGAAACUAACUUAAAGAACGUCGCUUUUAUAGAUGGAAGACUAUAUUGCAUUAAAACACUACAACUGAAAUAAGGAUAUAUUAAUUCUUUUAAUGCUACGUUGUCAAGAAGAGUCAUCUCUUCAACCUUUAAUCAUCUCUACCUUCCUUCUACCCCUUUCUAUUCUCUGAUGCACACAUAGCUGCGGCAGACAGGGCACUAACUCUUACAAGCGGGACAGUAAAUUCUUUCACAUUCAUGAACCAGAACAUGAGAUCUUAAAAUGUGCUUUUGUGCUAUCAUUUAAAAAACUACCGAAGUCAUCGCAGAAUGUUAACUCUCAGCUCUUUGAGUGCAACAGGAUUUCACUGUCUAGGCUCUGUUUUUCAUAUUUAUAAUACACCUAUCUGAAUUUCGUAAAACAUUGCCCUAAUAAAUAUGUUCGUGUUUUUAUUGUACUUUGUUUUCAAGGUAUUCAAUUUCAUAUGUAAUUAAAUCCAAUAAAGCCAUCUACAUUUCAUUUAUUCUGAAGUUAUUGUUUAUGAUCUUCAAAGACUGACUUUGCAAUUUUCAAUUACUUUGCCUGUGAUACACAAGGGUUAAGUGAAACAAAUUUUGCUUAGGAGAUCCUAAGACACUGAAGCUGUAUGCAACCUAACAAAAAAUUAGUAUUUGACAACUGAAAUUGCAUCACUUUGUUUAGCCUUUCAUUCUUUAACCUGCGUCUUAUCCCUCUUGCCCCCCCCUUUUUUUUUUUUUCCCCUGCAAGUCUACAUUGCCAGUUGUGUCCACAAAUACUAUUUCAGAUAUUGCUGACAUACUUAAGCCCCUUAAACUUAAAAGCGAACAGAAAAAAAUCUCAGUUUUGUCACCUAACUGGGGAGAUUUCAAAUUUACCUGGAUUUGUCUGGCCUGGGCAAACUGAAGCACUUCUGUGGAAUCUUAGUGAAACGUAUUUGCACAUCUGUAUAAUGACUUGCCUCUUUUUUCUGUGGGUGGAUUUGCAGGAUGGGGAAGGAGGACUUCCUUCUAUACAUACGUGUACAGGACACAAUGGAUUUAUAGGUGAAUGAAUAAAAUGCAUCCAGCUGGUAAAUGCUGGAAGAGCAGCAGGGAGAUAAGAUACUUAAAUAAGCAUUGAAGAAGGAAGGAACAGAAAAGCUGGAGAAAACACUGAAGAGUGAUGCAGUGGUAGAGGCAGACACAGCAGAAAGCUUUUAUACAGAGGAAAAGUCAAAUUUGAGAGCACCCUUGGUUUGAGUAGGGGAUUUUGUGGCUCCCUUUAAGCUUUUAACACUCCCCAAGAGAGGAUGAAGAAAGCAGCACACAAGCCAAGGUCACUGAAAGUAGUUUUUUGGGGUAAGAAAGGUGGAUGAACUAUAGGCCUAAGUCGGGGAGCAGGUAUGUCAGAGUCCUAUAAAAGGCCUUUAUUUAUAACAUCAGAAAAGUACCCGCCACCCUAUUGAAAAAUAAAAAAAAUAUCCCUCAAACCAAAGAGGUGGUAGCCCACAGGAGUGCCAUAUUAAUGAUGAGAAAAGCAAUUAUCUGUACUUUGCCCAAAAGGAAAUGGCACAAGAAAAUACUACAAGAAUUUACAAAGAUAACAAGCCUGAUCUAGACACCGUACACGUGAGCCCAUCAGCUGCAUCUCAGUCCAGUGCACCGGUGUUAAGGACAAGCGUCCUCCAGUCUCAGAAGUUUAUGUAGACAGGGACCCGUGCGAGGAGCCUGAAAGUCCUGUCUAGACCAGCAGGACUUCUGGCCCGGGUAUUCACUAGCUCACAUUCUUUAAAUAAAAUAUAGGACAUACACUGUUUACCUAAGAUGAGUGCUUAUUAUCUUCCUCUGAAAUCCAUUUGCAUCCACAGAUUCUAACCUGUAAGAACACACUCUGCUUCCAGAAGAUGAAAAUGCAAUGGCACAAAUAAAACAGUCAUACUUUCAGCGGAUUCUUAAAGGCAAGUCCAC